rnacentral:rRNA from 1 species
UUGUUGGUAAGGUAAAGGCUUACCAAGGCUUCGAUCAGUAGCUGGUCUGAGAGGACGGCCAGCCACACUGGGACUGAGACACGGCCCAGACUCCUACGGGAGGCAGCAGUGGGGAAUUUUGGACAAUGGGGGAAACCCUGAUCCAGCCAUGCCGCGUGAGUGAAGAAGGCCUUCGGGUUGUAAAGCUCUUUCAGCCGGAACGAAACGGUUACGGAUAAUACCCGUGACUACUGACGGUACCGGAAGAAGAAGCACCGGCUAACUACGUGCCAGCAGCCGCGGUAAUACGUAGGGUGCGAGCGUUAAUCGGAAUUACUGGGCGUAAAGCGUGCGCAGGUGGUUUUGUAAGUCAGAUGUGAAAGCCCCGGGCUCAACCUGGGAACUGCGUUUGAAACUACAAGACUAGAGUGUGGCAGAGGGGGGUGGAAUUCCGCGUGUAGCAGUGAAAUGCGUAGAGAUGUGGAGGAACACCGAUGGCGAAGGCAGCCCCCUGGGUUAACACUGACACUCAGGCACGAAAGCAUGGGGAGCAAACAGGAUUAGAUACCCUGGUAGUCCAUGCCCUAAACGAUGUCAACUAGUUGUCGGGCCUUUACGGGCUUGGUAACGUAGCUAACGCGUGAAGUUGACCGCCUGGGGAGUACGAUCGCAAGAUUAAAACUCAAAUGAAUUGACGGGGACCCGCACAAGCGGUGGAUUAUGUGGAUUAAUUCGAUGCAACGCGAAAAACCUUACCUACCCUUGACAUGUAUCGAAGCCCGCAGAAAAGCGGGGGUGCCCGAAAGGGAACGAUAACACAGGUGCUGCAUGGCUGUCGUCAGCUCGUGUCGUGAGAUGUUGGGUUAAGUCCCGCAACGAGCGCAACCCUUGUCAUUAAUUGCCAUCAUUUAGUUGGACACUUUAAUGAGACUGCCGG